GAUGAACGCUAGCUACAGGCUUAACACAUGCAAGUCGAGGGGCAGCAUGAGGGUUAGCAAUAACUCUUGAUGGCGACCGGCGCAAGGGUGCGUAACGCGUGAGCAACUUGCCCGUUUCUGGGGAAUAACCGGUGGAAACGCCGACUAAUACCCCAUAGCAUUAAUUUCAGGCAUCUGUUAUCAAUUAAAGAAUUUCGGAAACGGAUAGGCUCGCGUGACAUUAGCUAGAUGGCGGGUAACGGCCCACCAUGGCUACGAUGUCUAGGGGUUCUGAGAGGAAGGUCCCCCACACUGGAACUGAGACACGGUCCAGACUCCUACGGGAGGCAGCAGUGAGGAAUAUUGGUCAAUGGUCGAGAGACUGAACCAGCCAUGCCGCGUGAAGGUGACGGCCCUAUGGGUCUUAAACUUCUUUUGUAAGGGAGCCAAUAAGUCUUACGUGUAGGAUGAUGAGAGUACCUUACGAAUAAGCAUCGGCUAACUCCGUGCCAGCAGCCG
rnacentral:rRNA from 1 species